GAUUGGUUUUUCUUUAUCUUUCCUUUGAAUUCAUUGCUGUAGGGUUUCUAAAACGUUUGUGCCUGCAUGCACCGAAAAAAAAAAAAAUUAUUCACUCUUGCUGCUUGUUGAGCUCUAGUAUGCAGUAAAUCUAGCUUCAUUGUGGAAGGAUCGCAUUUUUAGUUCGAAUAGUUUUUGAAAGUCUUUUUCUGCUCUCAGGUGAUCUUCUAGCCUCAUCUGCAGCGUGUUCCAUGCAAUGCCAAACCGAAGGCUCUCUUUUGCAUUCCUACAAACUAGAGUUUAUAGUGGUUUGGGCUAAACUUGAGUUUUUUUGUGGGCUUGGGCUAUUACCUAGAUCAGGCCUUUGUACAGCUUACUUAUUGUUAGGUCUGAAAAAAUUAGAGAUCAACAUUUUUUUAAAAUUUUCAAAUUAAAUAAGUUGAAAUAAUUUAAAAUAUUAGAGGAGAAAAUAAAAAUAAAAAUAAAAAUCACCCUUAUUCAAUUUAAGAUCCAAACAGAAAGUUCUAUUCGAAAAACAAAAAAAAGUUCUAGCCCAUCAACAACUUUUCAUCUUAGCCGUUCAUUACACCUACUCCUUUCUCUUCUUAUGGCCGUUGGAUCUUGGCUUACAAGGUUUCAUUUGAGAGCUUCCUUUACUUCCAUGGUUCAGGAAGAGGCAGAAAAAGAAGAGAGCUACUCUCUCUCUCUUUCUCUCUGGGGUUUGCCUUCAAAGAUUGAGAUUGCUUACGGUUUAUGGAAUGCUUUGAUCAAUCCAUAACAUGGUUCAUGGAAGGAACUUGAUUCUAUCAUUGUUUCAUAGUACAUGCCACAAUCCCAAAUGAGCUAUGAAACAUAUUCUCAAUUUUUUAGAGUUUAUGAAAAUGGUUUAUGUUUGGUGGUUGACAACACUGUGAAGGUGAAUGGCAAUGAUAUGUUGUAUUUGUUAGCUGAAUGGCUAUUUUGUCUGCAACUCUCAUUCUAAUUAGUACUGCUCUAAUGUUAGCUCUAACUCUUCUUUAUUUUUGCUUAAUGUUGGUCCUUGUGGUUUGUAUCUUUUCCGAAUUUGAGAAUGCAAAGGAAGGUAUAUAAUCCUUCUAUCUUAUCAAUAAUCCUUCUCUAGAUGCAAAAUUGCAUUUCUGCUAGAAAACAAUUUAUGCCUAUGCCUUAACGAUUCUUUGAAUAUCUUUACCAAGUUCCAUUACAUUUACAUCCAACCAUGCAAGGGGAGAUUCAGGAUGAAGCAAUCGCAGAUCUUGAAUUUUCUGCUAUCAUUUUCUGUCGGCUUUGAUGGGGAAGAUCCAAUUUCGAUCGAGGAAGAUAUCCCUUUCCCUUCUAUGGUGUCUAUUUUCCUUCAUCUCCAGUCCGUUUCUGCCAUGCAUGGUUCCUCUUGUGUUGUCGUUUGUCCCUCUUGUUUUGGAGGCACCGGUUAAGCUGCUGUAGUUUUUUCCAAGAUUGUUGCCUGUCUAUUUCAUGGAGAAUCUCCUCUAUUAUAGGUAGGUCAAAUUUAUGCAAUCAACUCAGUCGAGGUGAAUUCGUAAAGAUGAGGAAGUGAAAUUAUUUAGUAUGGAUAUUGCGUGAAUUUUACGGUCAUUUUUAUUUUUCAUAAUUGAAUGCUGAAAACUAUUCUUUUCGAGACAUAGUACUCAUUCCAAAUCUGAGAGUAAAUCAAUAUUUGAUAUUCCUUCUGGAUCCCUUUUUUUGACAAGCGAAAUCUCUACUUUCCUAUGGAUGCAUUUUUUCCUCAUAAAGACUGGAAUUUGAUGCCCAGUUGAGCCCCUAAAUUUCCAUCAGAUUAUCGUGAGACUAAACGAAAAAGUUUCUUCAAAGCAAAUGGAGAUAUUGUGGCUGAAAAGAAAUAAUUUAAUAUGGCAGGACACUAUCAAGUUCUCUGGCAAUAUUUGCCCCUCAGUUAACGCGGAAAGCAAACUAGGGCUUGAGCGCUAAUUUACACAGCGAGUGACAAACAUUCGAUAUCCAUAACACUAAAUUUAACUCUUUCACAUUGUCUAAUGAAAAUUUUGUAGUUAACAACACUGUUUCUCAAUUUAAUUAAAUGCUGACCUAAUAAACCUUUAACUAAGCAUUGGUGGGGUGCGCCAGGCCCUUGCAGUAGUGCAACGCAAGGGCGACGCUCAAGAACUCCAAUAGCAAGCUAUUGUAACGAGCUCUUCCCUA